GCACUGCUGAUGAGAUCAGACCAGGUCGAAACAACUGUCCAGUGC
rfam:Echinostoma caproni strain Egypt genome assembly, scaffold: ECPE_scaffold0000666